GAGGUUAAGCGACUAAGCGUACACGGUGGAUGCCCUGGCAGUCAGAGGCGAUGAAGGGCGUGCUAAUCUGCGAUAAGCGCCGGUAAGGUGAUAUGAACCGCUACAACCGGCGAUACCCGAAUGGGGAAACCCAGUGUGACUCGUCACACUAUCAUGCAGUGAAUACAUAGCUGUAUGAGGCGAACCGGGGGAACUGAAACAUCUAAGUACCCCGAGGAAAAGAAAUCAACCGAGAUUCCCCCAGUAGCGGCGAGCGAACGGGGAGGAGCCCAGAACCAUCAUCAGCUUGUGCAUCAGUGGAAGCGUCUGGAAAGUCGCAGGGUACAGGGUGAUACUCCCGUACACAAAGGUGCA
rnacentral:rRNA from 1 species